AGGGAUGUAGUUAAUUAUAACAUUUGGGUUGCAUUCAAAAAGUAUUGGAUAUACCAAUCUUCCUUG
rnacentral:tRNA from 1 species